AAAACCUAUGAAUCGUGAAUCGAAUCGCUGCCUUCCCAAAGAUUCACAGCCCUAGAAAAUAGGCAAGAGUUUGUUAGCACUCAAAAUUUACAGGUUCACAAAUUAUAAAUAACUUCAAGCAUUACUCUCAUCUUACACAAUCACAUACACUUAUAACACUAAAUAUCCAUCAGCUCUCUGAAGCUACAGUACUCAUUAAAUUAGUUUAUUUUUUAUUCUGAAAACAGUUUUCAAUACAAAAAAGCCUUCCAAGCUUAACAUUUUUAAAUAAACUAAACCAUUAUCAUUACACAGAAGGGUAAAAGGUUAUUAUGCUUUUAACAGUUUUAAAACACAAAUACUACACUAGCAAUUUUCAAAGCUUAUCUUCUACUGUGUACAUGGUAACACUGGUACUUUCCAGGCAGCCUUGGGACUUUCCACCCAACCCCCAUCUUUAAGUGCUGACUUUCAUACUCACAGGCAUGGGCGGAUGUUAUUUUUCCAAACUGACAGUAUAGAGACAGAAUCCAUUUAGGCCAUGCCCACACUGGGGGGAAGCAAUCCAAGGCUCUCCAUUGACUUUCUAUCGCGGGAAGCAAAUUUAUAAGUCAUAAGUCGGAAAUGACAAGGAGGCAGCUUCCCGCAACAGAAAGUCAAUGGAGAACUCUGGAUUGCACCCCCACCCGGUGGACGUGGUUUUCAGAUUAUGACUGGUGCAGAAGCCUGGGAGGAGGAGGGACGCACUGCUGAAGAUCCCUCGCCGAUGUGGUGAAUCCGCGGUGCCAUCGAUCAGGCGAGGAAGUGUGUCUGGGGAUGGGCGAGCUCGCUGCCGGCCGCCCGUGAUGUGGAGGGGCGGCUGCCGUCCGUGAGGGGGUGGAGGAGUCGGCGCCGUUCGCCAGGGGGCCGGAGCCUGCUGCCAUCCACAUGAACUGGGAGGAGCAGGGAACGGGGGACUCCUACUGGCUGCCUAAAACCGGAGGAGCCGUCUCCGUCCACCGGGCGGCGGAGGAGUGUCAUGCCGUCCGCCGAGGACAGUCCAGUGCCACCGCCAGGCACCGCGGAGGAGAUCACCCAGCUGGUGGAGGGCCAAGCGGCAGUGCAUCUGACCGGAUUUUUUUUUUCUCCUCUCUCCCCUCUCUCGUCUCUGUAGCUCCUCCUUCCAUCUCCUUUCCUCUCGCCUCGUCUGUCCUACCCCCAGGUUCCCGUGAGCGGUGGGGUAAAGCACAGUCUCGAGGGUACCCCCCGGCCUGCAAGGGGCGAUGGGGGUAUGUGACAAGUGGGGGGGGGGGGGUGGGGGGCGAGAGACGUGGGAACAGAGUGAGGCCGGUGGAGUGAUUGGAGAUGAGCGACACCUGCUCGACCCACCGGUAUCGAGUCCCACGGAGGAGAUGGAAGGAUAUAAAACUAGAGCGACGACAGUGACGGAUGAGAGAGGACCAGGCCUUUAUUUACAAUGUUCCCAGUUGUGGAGAAGACAGCAAAUAAUAAAAAAAAAAACAAACAAA